AUGAGAGCUGCAGCAUCUAUCUGCUAACUGACCCAUGAAGACCUUGAUCCUUUGGCUGCAAUAUGGUCCAGACUUUAUGGUGCCAGUUACACAAGAUGAGCAUUGUUUUGUGAGCCAGUCAGCAGAAACUGCUAUUAAAAGAUGCGACUGUGCCAACUAUAUUGGAUCCGCCAGCAAUCCCACGACCUGUCUGCCUAGGCGGUGGAAGGAAAGGCAAGAAGUCUCCUUUUAUUUUCUCUUCCCAUAUUGUUUUUCAGGCUCUAAAUGCAUUUGA
ensembl:lncRNA